UUGCUUCAUCUUAGCUGAGUGGCGGACGGGUGAGUAACGCGUGAGUAACCUGCCUCAAAGAGGGGGAUAACGUCUGGAAACGGACGCUAAUACCGCAUAACAUAUCGUUGUGGCAUCACAAUGAUAUCAAAGGAGCAAUCCGCUUUGAGAUGGACUCGCGUCCAAUUAGCUAGUUGGUGAGGUAACGGCCCACCAAGGCGACGAUUGGUAGCCGGACUGAGAGGUUGAACGGCCACAUUGGGACUGAGACACGGCCCAGACUCC
rnacentral:rRNA from 1 species